AUGAUUAGAAUUUGUUCUCUUCUGAUUUCCUCCUGUUGGUCCCAAUUUUGUCCCCUAGGACAUAGCAAGUCCUGUCCCUCUGCUGCAUAUGCGACUUUAACUUUUUAAGAUACUUUUUCUUUUUACAGUUAGUAUGCAACUAAUGCUUGAUCUCAAUUUGUUUUGAAGUGUAUCUUUUCUGUGGUUUGAAGAAUUUAUUAACACAUCCUAGCCAACUUGGAAGAUCUCUUUACUUGCAGUGUUAGUAUUGAUUGAGGCUUCUCUGCCAGGCCUUCCUAGCAGAUUGAAAUGUUAAGUGCUUGUACCAGAUCCUAAGAUAAAAUUAGGUGGUUGUGUCCUAUCCUAAGAAAAGAUGUGAUUCAUAGGGGAGAUUGUAUUUUUAUUUCAUUUGAGAACUGGUUCUCAUCACCGUUCCCCCCUUCACAGCUAAAGCAGUGGAUGGAUACGUGAAGCCACAGAUCAAGCAAGUGGUCCCUGAGUUUGUGACAUCUGCAGACUCUGCCGGGAGCAGCGCCACCUACAUGGACCAGGCCCCCUCCCCAGUCGUGUGUCCCCAGGCUCCUUAUAACAUGUACCCACAGAACCCUGACCCCGUCCUUGACACCGAUGGGGACUUUGAUCUGGAUGACACGAUGGACGUGGCACGCCGCGUGGAGGAACUCUUAGGCCGACCUAUGGACACACAGUGGAUCCCUCAUGCGCAGUCGUGACCUCCCAUCUCAUCUUCAGCUUCUUCAUCCUCGCUAGAGGAGUUACUCUCGUGGAUGUUUUAAUUCCAUGAAUCACUUCUCUUUGGAAACAAUACUCAUAAUGUGAAGUGUUAAUACUAGUCGUGACUUUAGUGUUUCUAUGCAUGGUGGCACCAGUGAAGGGAGUGUGUGUGUGUGUGUGUGUGUGUGUGUGUGUGUGUGUG